rnacentral:rRNA from 1 species
GUAGGAUUACCCGCUGAACUUAAGCAUAUCAAUAA